GAUGAACGCUGGCGGCGUGCCUAAUACAUGCAAGUCGAGCGAACGCACGAGAAGCUCGCUUCUCUGCUGUUCGCGGGGCGCGGGUGAGUAACACGUGGAUCACCCUUCUAUAACACUGGGAUAAACUCGGAAACCCGGAGCUAAUACCGGAUAAUUGUUUGAACCGCAUGGUUCAAUAAAGAAAGGCCGUCUUGCUGUCACUUAUAGAUGGAUCCGCGCUGCAUUAGCUAGUUGGUAAGGUAACGGCUUACCAAGGCAACGAUGCAUAGCCGACCUGGGAGGGUGAUCGGACCCAAUGGAAGUAGACCAGGGGCCAAACUCGUACGGGAGCCGGCAGUAGGGAAUCUCCCGCAAUGGGGAAAAGCCGGACGAAGCAACGCCGCGUGGGUGAGGAAGGUCUUAGGUUGGUAAAACCCUGUGAUUAGGAAGGAAAAGAAGCGUGCGAAGAUGUCAAGACCUUGACGGUACCUAACCAGAAAGCCACGGCUAAAUACGUG
rnacentral:rRNA from 1 species